AAGUUUCAAGCUAUAUCUUAGUACGUUGGAAUGUUGUUACGUCAAUUGGCUUGCCUUUGUUCAUCUUGCUGGUUGUCAUAUCCGGCGAAAAAAAGGUAAUUCUGCAGAAGGAGAUUGGAAUUGCAAAUUGGAAGUUCAUACCAUCUUCUGUAGUGAAUUUCGGGUGUUUUCUGUUUUGUUGGUAAUAACUUUUGGAGGCUGAAGAAGCUUAAGAACCUCCAGAAGAAGAAUUAGCAUGAUCGGCACCAGAUGGACACGUGUGUCCGGGGCAGAGUCCUGACUAAUCCCAAGGGUACACAGACUCUUGGCAAGAAGUUUCUUGCAAGUGCACCACGGCUCCUAUGGCUGCUAUAAAUUAUUUGAGCCAAGGAUUCAAAUCUUAGACUUUUGGAGAGAGGAUACCACCAAGACCAAAGCUCUUACCACUUGAUCCAACCCCUAGCUAAUUCUGCAUGCGUGUGACUUAGGCCGGCUCCCUCCUCACAGAAGAAUAAUGAAUGAAGAAACUCCGAAGGAGAUCCAAACAGUUCAUUGAAGUAUCACCACCCCACCCCCAGGACAAUGAUGGCAUACCCAGGUUAUUGAGAGAUGAGUCUAGUUCUGUAGAUGCCUCCAUUGGUAAUAGUCAUUUAUUUUGUUUUUCCUUUUAUGUGUUCUUCCGCUUUUCCAGGCAUUGACAUGUAACAAUUAUAUUUGAACUGUCAUUUGAAUAGAGCAUCUCUUAAGUCUUUCCUUCCUUAAAGUCUAAUUAGAUCACUUGCUCAGAUUAUAUGGAUGGAGAAGUAUAUUGAUUGGUGACAUAAUG